CACAAGCGUAUAUUAAAGCUGCUGCAGUUAAAACGCUCGUAGUUGUGGUUUCGUCAGGUCGCAGGUGUGUGUCUACAAAAGACGCGCGCAGGCGGGCUGAUUACAUCGUAGUGUGCGUGUUAACUCACGCACACUAAGUAAACCUUGAAAAAAUAUUGUCGCUUAACUAUGGACUUACGUCCAAGUUCUUUCUGCAUGGGAUUUUGAAACACGAGUGGCGGGGUAAGAUCCGCUGCUAAUGACAUUUGAGGAUGAAAGAGGAAGUUAAUAUUUGAGAGUCAGAGGUGAAAUUCUUGGAUUUCUCAAAGAUUAACUAAUGCGAAGGCAUUCUUCAAUUGCUUUCCUGUCAA
rnacentral:rRNA from 1 species